GAGGACUUUGGAUGAAAAGGCAGAACGUUUGUCUCCUCAUCUGAUAAAAGACUCUUCUCUCUUUUGAAUCAGUGAGAGGAUUCUCAUCACUGAAGAUCUUCAAAACAGCCAAGUCCUGCCUGGACCACUGCUCAACUAACUAACCAGUAAUUCAUCAGCUGAGUGAACCAUGAAGAUCACGGUAGCUGCCCUGCUGCUGCUCUCUGCUCUUGGACUCUCUCAAGCGCUGAGCUUCCGUCAGAAACAUGUCAUCCCUCGAUUGGAUACUAAUGAGUGUGAUAAUAGAAUGGUACGGAUCAAUAAUGACUGUCAAAAGUGCAAGCCUGUAAAUACCUUCAUCCUUGAAGAAAAUAAUAAUAUAGCAAUCGUCUGCCGGGGCAUAAGAUGGGGCGUUGGUUAUCUUCAAAACCCUCAUGGCAUUGUUUAUAGAUAUCGUUGGGGAACUUUCCCCAACUGUCAAUACACCCAUUAUUCUCAAUUACCACACAGCCUUGUGGUAAAAUGUGAAAAUGGUGUGCCUGUGCACUUGUUUGGUGGAAACAAAGACUGUUAAGAUGAACAUAGAUCACAUGUUUGAUUUUCGGUCUGUUUAAGUUUGGUAAACAAUGCAGAAAAUAAUCAAGCACAGCUGAGAUGCAUCACUUUCUCACAUUUAUGGAUCUUUUUUUUUUACCACUUUCCAUUGUCUCCAUGAUUUUGCUGUUUCAACCUGAUCUGUGUUUUAUUUUAUGUACGGAUAAUGGAUUAAAAAUCCAUUAUUUGUUGUUUUGUGUUGAUUAUAAAAGUGUCAAUGACAAGUUUGGGGACGAACAACAAUUUAAAAAGAAGCUAAUCAACAUUGUUCAUUCAUUUAGUUAUAUACAUUAAA